GGUGGCUCAGUGGUAGAGUGCUUGCCUAGCAUGCAAGCAGCCCUGGGUUCAUUCCCUCAGCACCA
rnacentral:tRNA from 1 species